rnacentral:lncRNA from 1 species
GUACUUCGGCUUUUAUAAGCUUGUAUGGCCAUCAAAUUGAGCAGUCAGAAGCCCUCUGUCAAAAACUGUGCGGCUGCAAAAUUUGAGGAAAGAUUUUUCUCCAGAUCCUCUGGUCUACCUGAGACCUUGAUUUUGUUCUUGUGAGACCAAAGCCGAGAAGUCAGUCCAGCACCCUGGAACUUCUGACCCACAGAAAUGUGAGCCUCCCUUCCCAGAGAGCCCACGCAGUUGAGACCCACGCUGCAUCCUGUGGAAAGGAUCAUUCUCUUUUCUCCAGGCUCCAGAGUUGAGGUGAACAGCAGAAUUGAGACAGGAGAACAAAAUAUCAGAGGUGUAGCUCCUCAACUGGCAUGUUACCCCAGACUCGUGGAAGAAAACGCGUAAAGGGAAUUUCCCCCAAGGAGCCUUAUUUAUGCAUUCCUGCAAAAACACUAAUACCCUAGAAAGUACAGCCACAUGAAUGCCUCUGAACUUGUUUGAUGGAUGACAAUUGUCCUGUCAUUAUGCUGGUGGAAGACAAAGUGGCGGAAGGUAGGAAUGGAGAAGGGCUGGGCACUACUACCAUGCACACAAAGUGGGUGAAACUUUGUGAUGUCUAAGGCAUAUUCCAUUGGCAUUUUGUGACUCUGAGUCUAAAGGUUGCAACCCAAGGCAUGCAGGUUGCCUCUAGAAGCUGGGAAUGUCUCUUAGCAAGGAAACGGGGAUGUCAGUUCUACAUCACAGGAUCUUAAUUCUGUCAGCAACCUGAAUGGGCAAGAACACAGAUUCUACCCCCAAACUUCCAGAAAGAAACACAUCUCUGCUGACACCCUAAUUUUUAGCCUGGUGAGAUCCAUACCAAGUUCUGACCAGGGGAACUCUAAGAUGAUAAAUUGAUGUUGUUUUAAGCCACUAACUUUGUGGUAAUUUUAUUGUAGUAGCAAAGGAAAACUAAAACCUUCAGGAAAGAAAACAUCACAACACUUCCUUAAUGAUCAAGAAGGAAAAUAAUAGCAACAAAAAUCUGGUAAGACAUCAUGACAUCUGACUUAAUUUCCUCUUCUAUCAGGAUUAUUGGGAGAAACAGGGAAGGCAGGUUGAGGAGUCUAUGCAUGAAUGAGAUUUUCAGUGCUUAGCUGAAAUGUCUGCUUUGAAUCCCAUGGACCUUUAAAGCUCCAUUAGGCAUACUCUCUUCUUCUGUCUCCCUAAAGCUGGGUAAACAUCUCCCAAAUUCUAUGUCUUUUUAACCCUGCUGAUCCAAAUCUAAGUAGUAUUUCUUUAAAUAGUGUCAAUGACAAUUUUGCCUUUGGGAAUUCUUUGAAGCUAUGGAUUGCUUCUAAAAGCAUUUUUGCAUAACAGGACAACGUUUAAAUUUUACCUCUUUUAGUAGAGUUGAAGAAGUUAUUAUCCCUAGUCCCUGAAAUAUCAAUAUGGGGUAAAAUUAUAGUAAGGGCAUGAGUUAUAAAGAAAUGAAAAGUCUGGUUCAUCAUACUGAUUCAAGCAUAAAGGGUUUCUGCAGUUUGCUUUGGACUUAAUGGAAAGACUUUAUCUGUUAUUUCAUAAUACAGCUUGCUAUCUGAUGAGUGGUGCCACUGAUAUCACUUUGUAAGCAUUUUGUUUAUUUCUGGAAGUAGAAGCAGUAGGAAAAACAGCUAAGCUCUUCAGAGAAUUAAAACUUGAAGUGGAAGUUCAGUUUAGUCCUUAGUGGCAAGCCUCCUCUAAAAGCUGUUUUAAGAUGAGAUUCUCACUUAUAAAUAAACAACUUGGAAUUUUUUUCCCCUGCUGAUUGACUUUCCAUGAGGAACUUCAACUUCACACAUUCUCUGGGGUAUCAUAAAACCAACUCCUGGGAUCCAAGUUGUCAGUUUCCUCUUUGGAAGUCUGACUGCUCAUGUUCUACUCUUCCCUCUGUGAGUGACACAGAGUGACAGAGGCUGAGAGCACUGUGAUGACUGCCUCAUUACAAUAACAGACAGGGUAUAGCUGGGCUUGGGACUUCUUACUGCACUUUCUGAGGCCCAGCAACCAGGUCUCCAGUUGAGAUAGGGACAAGCUAUUUUUCUGUGCUGUGAUAGGACAACAAGACUGAGGGUAGUAUUUUUUUUUUUUUUUUUUUUUUUAGGGCCACACCUGCAGCAUAUGGAGGUUCCCAGGCUAGGGGUCGAAUCUGAGCUACAGCUGAUGGCCUACACCACAGCCACUACCACAGGAUCCAAGCUAUGUCUGUGACCUACACCACAGCUCACAGCAAUGCCAGAUCCUUAAAUUAUUGAGUAAGGCCAUGGAUCAAACCCGAAACCUCACGGUCAGAUUCGUUUCAGCUGUGCCACAAUGGUAACUCUAAUUUUUUAAUAAACAUAGGGCUUAAAAAAUUGAGCAUCAUAGAAUCAGUAGGAAACUUAGAAGUUUUCAAGUCCAACCCAGAGUACAAGGAAGAAAUCUCUUCAGAGUAUUCCCCAAAUAUAAGAUUGAAUGUCACAGUAACAGAGAUUUGUUACCUCUCAGAAAACUGUUUGUUAGAAAUCAGGUCCUUAUGUUGACCAGAAUCUAGACCUUUGUAAAAUUUCCCUUGGUGGUUUUAUAGUCAUUGGCCAUAAAACAAGUCCAGUCUUAUCUCCAGUAGAAUGCUCAAGCCCUGAAGGGUUCUUAAAAAAAUGAUGUUGCUCAAACCUAUCAUUCUACAAGUAAGAAAACUAGGACCAAAGAAGGUCAGUGUUUUACUCAUAUUCACAGAACUAGUUGAUGGUCAUCAAGAAUUCGAGAUGCUUAACUGCCUGAGUUUUACCCACCAUACUCUGUUGAAACCGAACACAGUGAAAGGACUGUCUAUGUAUUUAAAACAUGCUUUCCUCAACUGACCUGGGCUACUAUCAGGAGGAAAAAUGAAUUCUGGAAUAAAAAACAUUACAAGCUC